AAGUCGUAACAAGGUUUCCGUAGGUGAACCUGCGGAAGGAUCAUUAGCGAAGUUCGGAAUGCAUGUUCGAUGUUGAUGCUGCCCAGCAAUGGGAUGUGCUCGCUCGGAUGUGUGUCCCUUCUCUAUCCACCCCAUUGUGAACCAAGUGUGUGAGCCGAAGAGAAAUCGGAAGCUCGCAUGCAAACCUUUAACAUACCCCAAUAAAGUAUCAGAAUGUACCUUGCGUUAACUCGCACAAAUAUAACUUUCAACAACGGAUCUCUUGGCUCUC
rnacentral:misc_RNA from 1 species